rnacentral:rRNA from 1 species
AUUGAACGCUGGCGGCAUGCUUUACACAUGCAAGUCGAACGGUAACAGGUUAAGCUGACGAGUGGCGAACGGGUGAGUAAUGCAUCGGAACGUGCCCGGUCGUGGGGGAUAACACUUCGAAAGAAGUGCUAAUACCGCAUACGAUCUGAGGAUGAAAGCGGGGGACCGUAAGGCCUCGCGCGAUCGGAGCGGCCGAUGUCAGAUUAGGUAGUUGGUGGGGUAAAGGCUCACCAAGCCGACGAUCUGUAGCUGGUCUGAGAGGACGACCAGCCACACGGGGACUGAGACACGGCUCAGACUCCUACGGGAGGCAGCAGUGGGGAAUUUUGGACAAUGGGCGCAAGCCUGAUCCAGCAAUGCCGCGUGCAGGAAGAAGGCCUUCGGGUUGUAAACUGCUUUUGUACGGAGCGAAAAGGCUCUCUCUAAUACAGGGGGCUCAUGACGGUACCGUAAGAAUAAGCACCGGCUAACUACGUGCCAGCCGCCGCCGUAA